rnacentral:rRNA from 1 species
GACGAACGCUGGCGGCGUGCUUAACACAUGCAAGUCGAACGGUGACGAGGAGCUUGCUCCUCUGAUCAGUGGCGAACGGGUGAGUAACACGUGAGCAACCUGCCCCAGACUCUGGGAUAACAGUUGGAAACAGCUGCUAAUACCGGAUACGAGACGGAGAGGCAUCUCUACCGUCUGGAAAGUUUUUCGGUCUGGGAUGGACUCGCGGCCUAUCAGCUAGUUGGUGAGGUAAUGGCUCACCAAGGCGACGACGGGUAGCCGGCCUGAGAGGGCGACCGGGCCACACUGGGACUGAGACACGGCCCAGACUCCUACGGGAGGCAGCAGUGGGGAAUAUUGCACAAUGGGCGAAAGCCUGAUGCAGCGACGCCGCCGUGAGGGAUGAAGGCCUU